GCUUUUGACCGCCUCUCGGAUUCAGACGCACUGUAUGUCCACAUCCAGACUUCCUGCAAAGCAUGUUUAGAGGAACUUAUAAAGUACUUCAAAGAACAUUUGACUCUCUGGGAGAAAGCCUUGCACGACAUCAAGGAUCCUGGCAUCAAUCAGAUGACUCAGGACAAAGUUCUGUUGAUUGGGAGGCUAUGUUCUGCUAUUGGGGACAUGGUGCCAGCUCUACAGCAAUGCAUUAUGGGAAAAUCUGCCAUUCAUGGACCAGACAGUGCCAGCAGCAGGGUGCUGAAGAAACAGUCAUCCAGCAGUGGAGGCAAAGUUAGUGAGAAUUCAGAAUGGUCCAGCUCAAAGGAGAGACUGUGUAACUGUCAUAGAGAGGCCUACAGAAUAUGGGUGGAUCAUUUGACUUUAUCAGUGGUGACAAAGUUGAGGAAUGCUCUCAGCUCUAAGGAACACAAGAAUGCUCUCAUCUACUGCACAAGAUGGGACGAAGUCAGCAUAGAGGAAGAAACAGAAGACGGGAAAAAGAUCAGCUCCAAAAUCAGGGUGCCGAUGCAGGCUUCAUGGUAUGUUCAGAACCUGCUGUACAGUCUGUGUCGAGAAAUCAAUCGAGUGGGAGGUCAUGCAGUGCAGAGGGGAACAUUGCAUCAACUUGUAUCCAAGGUAACUGAUGAAGUAAUGAAAUCCUUUGAGGAGGUGGUAUCUAACAGCAGAAAGAAAGACAGCAAUUGCCUCCCCCUGACUCAGCAGAGGGCACUUCAGCUCAUAUUUGACGUUAAAUUCAUCCUUCAAAUCAUUCCUAGGAAAGAUGAUACAGUGGAGGGUAAAUCCUACCAGAAGGCAGCAGCCAGGAUCAUUGAGAGUCUGGAGGAGAAGGUGGACCCGUUUGAUCUGGAUGUCUUCUCUCCCUACAUGCAGUCACACUUGAUGAAGCAGGGACAGAGAUCAGCAGUAUUGUAUGGUGCUCUGACAUCGUUGGAUCGCCUUGGACUGUUCAGUGCAGGGAGACCUCUACAAUCGGGUCAGAGUGAGCAGCACAAUGUCCUUCCGCUGACUUCCUGUCCCAGUCGGUUCACUCUCCUCCCCAUCAGCACUCAGCCAAUCAGAUCAUCAAUACAGGCUCCAGCUCUACAGAAGUCACUGUAUAAAGCCAAGGCCUCUGAGGGAAGGUCCCACACCCUGACAGAGACAGCGGCGGCCGUCCUUCCCCAGACUAGCAGCAUGCAGAAAGAGAGCUCCUUCUACAACAAGCUGGGCAGCAUGUCUAGUAUGUCAGAACUGUCCAGCUGGUUCUCCAACAUCGGCUCCAAGUCCUAGACUCCAUUCAAGCUCCAUGCAAGUUCAGCAGAGUGGGCAAUAGCAAGCAAUGACAAAUUACUGGUUCGACUCAAUACAUGCCGACCUCAAGACAAGAAACUGACAGUAGACUCUAAUCAAAAUCUCAAAUACGCAUGACUUUUGAAAUGAUUUUUUAUAAUGAAGUAAUUUUUGUAUUUCUGAAUUAUACAAAAUUGCGAUAUUUCAAGCAUUUUUGUUAGGAAUAAAUCAAGAUAUUCAGGAUUCAAACCAUAAAAUUUGACACAAGUCUGUUCUUAUCUUAUGGUCCUGCAUAGAGCCGGGACAUGUACAAGGAGGAACACCCAUAUAUGUGUUCCCAAAACACAAGGCCUAGGGAUCUACAUGUUUCAGUUCAGUUUGGAGUGUAUGAAACUUAUAAACCUUUUUCCGCAUAAUUCUAUAGCAGUGGUAUCCUAAAUAAUGACUGUGAUACUUUAUUAAUAUUUUGUUUAUUUAUUGUAAUUGUGUUUAGAGGGAAAUAAAAAAGGAAUC
rnacentral:misc_RNA from 1 species